rnacentral:lncRNA from 1 species
GUCACUUUCAUUACCACGUGUGAAGAAACGAAACCGUCGUUACCGAAGCAACGGAACAUUUUGAUCUGAAUAAUGAUAGAAUUCUUUCAAUUUAUUUAUGCUGCUACGGAUUUAUUAUUUAAUUUACCAGCAUUUUUCGGUACGACUGGAGAAAGAUUCCCCGCGGAAUUUCGACAUCCCUUUUGUCUUUUCCCCCUAAUUGGGGGCUUCUGCGUUCAAUGGUGGGGGUCCCAUGCGUGGGAGGGGCCCCGUUUUCAAGUUAUGGGGCCCCAAAGUUUGUGCUCGGAAUCGCGUUUUUUACGA